UGCCGGGGUGGUGGAAUUGGUAGACACGAAGGACUUAAAAUCCUUUUCUCUUAAUUGAGAGUGCCGGUUCGAUUCCGGUCCCCGGCAA
rnacentral:tRNA from 1 species